rnacentral:tRNA from 1 species
GGAGGCACGCAUUGGAGUGCUUAUCGGUCUUGAAAACCGUGAUGACGUAGUGAUAUGUCGUGGGGGUUCGACUCCCUCUGUCUCCGC